rnacentral:rRNA from 1 species
GACGAACGCUGGCGGCGUGCUUAACACAUGCAAGUCGAACGGAAAGGCCCUGCUUGCAGGGUACUCGAGUGGCGAACGGGUGAGUAACACGUGGGUGAUCUGCCCUGCACUUCGGGAUAAGCCUGGGAAACUGGGUCUAAUACCGGAUAGGAGCCAUUUUUAGUGUGUUGGUUGGAAAGUUUUUUCGGUGUAGGAUGAGCGCGCGGCCUAUCAGCUUGUUGGUGGGGUAAUGGCCUACCAAGGCGCCGACGGGUAGCCGGCCUGAGAGGGUGGACGGCCACAUUGGGACUGAGAUACGGCCCAGACGCCUAAGGGAGGCAGAAGGGGGGAAGAUUGAACAAUGGGCGCAAGCCUGAUGCAGAGACGCCGCGGGGGGGAUGACGGCCUUCGGGUUGUAAACGCCUUUCGCUAGGGACGAAGCUUUUUGUGACGGUACCUAGAUAAGAAGCACCGGCUAACUACGUG